CACGUAGGGGGCAAGCGUUGUCCGGAAUCAUUGGGCGUAAAGAGCUCGUAGGCGGCUCGGUAAGUCGGGUGUGAAACCCCCAGGCUCAACCUGGGGACGCCACCCGAUACUGCUGUGGCUAGAGUCCAGUAGGGGAGUGUGGAAUUCCCGGUGUAGCGGUGAAAUGCGCAGAUAUCGGGAGGAACACCAGCGGCGAAGGCGGCACUCUGGGCUGGAACUGACGCUGAGGAGCGAAAGCGUGGGUAGGCAAACAGG
rnacentral:rRNA from 1 species